UAGGGAAUCUUCGGCAAUGGACGAAAGUCUGACCGAGCAACGCCGCGUGAGUGAAGAAGGUUUUCGGAUCGUAAAACUCUGUUGUUAGAGAAGAACAAGGACGUUAGUAACUGAACGUCCCCUGACGGUAUCUAACCAGAAAGCCACGGCUAACUACGUGCCAGCAGCCGCGGUAAUACGUAGGUGGCAAGCGUUGUCCGGAUUUAUUGGGCGUAAAGCGAGCGCAGGCGGUUUCUUAAGUCUGAUGUGAAAGCCCCCGGCUCAACCGGGGAGGGUCAUUGGAAACUGGGAGACUCGAGUGCAGAAGAGGAGAGUGGAAUUCCAUGUGUAGCGGUGAAAUGCGUAGAUAUAUGGAGGAACACCAGUGGCGAAGGCGGCUCUCUGGUCUGUAACUGACGCUGAGGCUCGAAAGCGUGGGGAGCAAACAGG
rnacentral:rRNA from 2 species